ACUCCUACGGGAGGCAGCAGUGGGGAAUAUUGCACAAUGGGCGAAAGCCUGACGCAGCCAUGCCGCGUGAAUGAUGAAGGUCUUAGGAUUGCAAAAUUCUUUCACCGGGGACGAUAAUGACGGUACCCGGAGAAGAAGCCCCGGCUAACUUCGNGCCAGCAGCCGCGGUAAUACGAAGGGGGCUAGCGUUGCUCGGAAUUACUGGGCGUAAAGGGAGCGUAGGCGGACAUUUAAGUCAGGGGUGAAAUCCCGGGGCUCAACCUCGGAAUUGCCUUUGAUACUGGGUGUCUUGAGUAUGAGAGAGGUGUGUGGAACUCCGAGUGUAGAGGUGAAAUUCGUAGAUAUUCGGAAGAACACCAGUGGCGAAGGCGACACACUGGCUCAUUACUGACGCUGAGGCUCGAAAGCGUGGGGAGCAAACAGGAUUAGAUACCCUGGUAGGCGUAGU
rnacentral:rRNA from 1 species